rnacentral:rRNA from 1 species
AAAGCAACUAACAAGAUUCCCUUAGUAACGGCGAGUGAACAGGGAUUAGCCCAGCACCGAAGCUUGUGACCGUUUGGUCAUUAAGCAAUGUGGUGUUAAGGUUGUUUCGCAAAGGCAAUGCCCUACCCUAAGUCCGGCAAUGAACACGGUAGUACGGACAUGGCCCAAAGAGGGUGAAAGGCCCGUGGGGGUAGAGGUUCAGAUAGCCAGUGCCUUUCUGGAAUAACCUUAGAGUCGGGUUGUUUGUGAAUGCAGCCCAAAGUGGGUGGUAAACUCCAUCCAAGGCUAAAUACAUACACGAGUCCGAUAGCAAACAAGUACCGUGAGGGAAAGUUGAAAAGUACUUUGAAGAGAGAGUAAACAGUGCGUGAAGCCGCUCAGAGUCUAAACGAAUGGAGUUGAACUGCGUACAUUGAGAAUUCAGCUGACGAGGAUGGUUUGUGUUUGGUCAAAUUGGUUAAAACUCGAAGACUGUUAAUGACAGGCUUUCGUCCUCGGGCGAAAGUGCGUGAUGCACUAAUUAUGUGUUGCGCGAUUCGAGUAUGUUGAGCCACCUUGUCAGUGCAUUUUCUCUUUGUGUUCACCAAGACUGGCAUUGUUGUCAUUGCAUUUCGGUUAAACCGUGCAUUUUUAGUCUUUGUGGCUUUAAAUGUGCGGGAUAGCAGGUAGCUCGUUGAUUUUACAAUUUUUGUGAGCAUAAUUGACGAGUGUUAUCAGCUGACUGUUUAUUGCUUUGUACAAUAUGUCAGAGACGGCGGCCAGUAAUGGGCGUAUGUAUUUGUUCAUUAACGGAGUCGGGUUUGGUUGUUAUGUUGCUUGUUCAAGCAAGCCUAGUAAUAACUCGACAUCGUUUAAUGGCAGGUUGCAAAUGCCGCAUUGUUUAAAGGGCCAAAAGUCAUUGGUGUAGUGGUAGACUUUCCAUUCGACCCGUCUUGAAACACGGACCAAGGAGAUUUACAUAUGCGCGAGUCAUUGGGCGUUACGAAACCCACAGGCGUAGUGAAAGUAAAAGUAUGGCUUGUUCAUACUGUGGUGAGAUCCUGCUCUUUCCCACGCAUGUACCACCGAAUUGGAAGAGUGGGCGCAUCACCAGCCCGUCCUAUGAUAAUUGCUUUUGCAUUUUUCUGUCGGGGCGGAGCAUGAGCGCAUAUGUUGAGACCCGAAAGAUGGUGAACUAUGCUUGCGCAGGUUGAAGCCAGAGGAAACUCUGGUGGAGGACCGUAGCGUUUCUGACGUGCAAAUCGAUCGCCAGACGUGAGUAUAGGGGCGAAAGACUAAUC